rnacentral:rRNA from 1 species
UACGUAGGGGGCAAGCGUUAUCCGGAAUUAUUGGGCGUAAAGAGCUCGUAGGCGGUUUGUCGCGUCUGCCGUGAAAGUCCGGGCUCAACUCCGGAUCUGCGGUGGGUACGGGCAGACUAGAGUGAUGUAGGGGAGACUGGAAUUCCUGGUGUAGCGGUGGAAUGCGCAGAUAUCAGGAGGAACACCAAUGGCGAAGGCAGAUCUCUGGGCCGUAACUGACGCUGAGGAGCGAAAGCAUGGGGAGCGAACAGG